rnacentral:misc_RNA from 1 species
UUUGAAAAAGAAAUCGAGCGACAUGGAAAUUAAAGUACACACAGAAGCACCUAUUGUAUCAAAUAGUACAAACUCAUGAGAAAUUUGGAAUAAGAUAUAUAUACGACAUGUAUAGUGAUGAUGUGCUUAGAUACUAGGAUCUACAAUUUAGACGUUGUGAAUUCUAAGUUGAGAUCUAAAUUCACCUACACUUGCUAUAACUUUUUACAUAUAUAUAAGGCUAAAUAUCGAGUUCUGUUGAACCUGCAAACCUGUUGUUUGAUCCACUAACGAUUCAAGAAACUGAUAAACAGUCUUGAAUUUGCUCUAAGGAGCGUAAAAGUAAUCCUUCAACGUCUGUGAUGUGUUUCUUCAUCACAGGAACUGAUCCUUUAACUCCACAGAUUGCUUCAUUCAGUUUUGUUGCAGGCUGCUGAACCACUUGCUUCAUUUUCUUGUCAUCAGAAAAUUGGAAUUUAAGCUUCUGAUUCUGCUUAUGCUGUUUCUGUUUUUGAUGAUUUCCAAUAAAGAUACAAAUCGUAACAGCAGCAGCUGCAACCCCAAAUGAACAAAUUGCACCAAUUCCAGUCAAUCUCCAGUUCCACAGAUUAACUCCACCAUUAUUUUUCUCUUCAUUACUAUCCCUUUUCUUGAUCAAACUCUCAUUUUCAACUUCCAAGACUUCAGCUUUAACCUCAAAGGGGAAACUCAUUGAAUCAAUUUGAGACACAGUACUAGUCUUGUUACUAAACUUGGGUGAAUCCAACUUCAUGUUUUCAAAUUCACUUUCCUUCAUUUUCUUGAAGAAAA